rnacentral:rRNA from 1 species
AAGUGAAGUAAAGCUUGCUUUAUGGAACUUAGUGGCGAACGGGUGAGUAAUACAUAAGCAACCUGCCCAUCGGACUGGGAUAACUGUUGGAAACGAUAGCUAAUACCGGAUAGGUAAACGGAAGGCAUCUUCUGUUUAUUAAAGUUUAGAUACACUGAUGGAUGGGCUUAUGGCGCAUUAGCUAGUUGGUGAGGUAACGGCCCACCAAGGCUGUGAUGCGUAGCCGACCUGAGAGGGUGACCGGCCACAUUGGGACUGAGACACGGCCCAAACUCC